rnacentral:rRNA from 1 species
CCUACGGGAGGCAGCAGUGAGGAAUAUUGGUCAAUGGACGAGAGUCUGAACCAGCCAAGUAGCGUGAAGGAUGACUGCCCUAUGGGUUGUAAACUUCUUUUAUAUGGGAAUAAAAUGUUCCACGUGUGGGAUUUUGUAUGUACCCUAUGAAUAAGGAUCGGCUAACUCCGGGCCAGCAGCCGCGGUAAUACGGAGGAUCCGAGCGUUAUCCGGAUGUAUUGGGGUUAAAGGGAGCGUAGGUGGAUUGUUAAGUCAGUUGUGAAAGUUUGCGGCUCAACCGUAAAAUUGCAGUUGAAACUGGCAGUCUUGAGUACAGUAGAGGUGGGCGGAAUUCGUGGUGUAGCGGUGAAAUGCUUAGAUAGCACGAAGAACUCCGAUUGCGAAGGCAGCUGACUGGACUGCAACUGACACUGAGGCUCGAAAGUGUGGGUAUCAAACAGGAUUAGAUACCCCAGUAGUC